rnacentral:rRNA from 1 species
AUACAUGCAGUCGAGCGGACAGAUGGGAGCUUGCUCCCUGAAGUCAGCGGCGGACGGGUGAGUAACACGUGGGCAACCUGCCUGUAAGACUGGGAUAACUCCGGGAAACCGGGGCUAAUACCGGAUAAUUCUUUCCCUCACAUGAGGGAAAGCUGAAAGAUGGUUUCGGCUAUCACUUACAGAUGGGCCCGCGGCGCAUUAGCUAGUUGGUGAGGUAACGGCUCACCAAGGCAACGAUGCGUAGCCGACCUGAGAGGGUGAUCGGCCACACUGGGACUGAGACACGGCCCAGACUCCUACGGGAGGCAGCAGUAGGGAAUCUUCCGCAAUGGACGAAAGUCUGACGGAGCAACGCCGCGUGAGUGAUGAAGGUUUUCGGAUCGUAAAACUCUGUUGUUAGGGAAGAACAAGUACCGGAGUAACUGCCGGUACCUUGACGGUACCUAACCAGAAAGCCACGGCUAACUACGUGCCAGCAGCCGCGGUAAUACGUAGGUGGCAAGCGUUGUCCGGAAUUAUUGGGCGUAAAGCGCGCGCAGGCGGUCUCCUUAAGUCUGAUGUGAAAGCCCCCGGCUCAACCCGGGGAGGGUCAUUGGAAAGCUGGGGAACUUGAGUGCAGAAGAGAAGAGU